rnacentral:rRNA from 1 species
CCCCUAGAUGUUCUGGGCCGCACGCGCGCUACACUGAACAGUUCAACAAGUCUUAACCUUGACCGAUAGGUCUGGGUAAUCUUUGAACGCUGUUCGUGAUUGGGAUAGACCUUUGCAAUUAUGGGUCUUCAACGAGGAAUUCCUAGUAAACGCAAGUCAUCAGCUUGCAUUGAUUACGUCCCUGCCCUUUGUACACACCGCCCGUCGCACCUACCGAUUGAAUGGUCCGGUGAAAUCUCGGGACGGCGGCUUGGUCGCUUGCGUCCGACUGCUGAAACUUGAUUAAACCAUAUCAUUUAGAGGAAGGUGAANUCGUAACA